rnacentral:rRNA from 1 species
UCUGGUUGAUCCUGCCAGUAGUUAUAUGCUUGUCUCAAAGAUUAAGCCAUGCAUGUCUAAGUACACACGAAUUAAAAGUGAAACCGCAAAAGGCUCAUUAUAUCAGUUAUGGUUCCUUAGAUCGUUAACAGUUACUUGGAUAACUGUGGUAAUUCUAGAGCUAAUACAUGCAAUUAAAACAUGAACCUUAUGGGACAUGUGCUUUUAUUAGGCUAAAACCAAGCGAUCGCAAGAUCGUUAUAUUGGUUGAACUCUAGAUAACAUGCAGAUCGUAUGGUCUUGUACCGACGACAGAUCUUUCAAAUGUCUGCCCUAUCAACUUUUGAUGGUAGUAUCUAGGACUACCAUGGUUGCAACGGGUAACGGGGAAUCAGGGUUCGAUUCCGGAGAGGGAGCCUGAGAAACGGCUACCACAUCUAAGGAAGGCAGCAGGCGCGUAAAUUACCCACUCCCAGCUCGGGGAGGUAGUGACGAAAAAUAACAAUACAGGACUCAUAUCCGAGGCCCUGUAAUUGGAAUGAGUACACUUUAAAUCCUUUAACAAGGACCAAUUGGAGGGCAAGUCUGGUGCCAGCAGCCGCGGUAAUUCCAGCUCCAAUAGCGUAUAUUAAAGUUGUUGCGGUUAAAACGUUCGUAGUUGAACUUGUGCUUCAUACGGUAGUACAACUUACAAUUGUGGUUAGUACUAUACCUUUAUGUAUGUAAGCGUAUUACCGGUGGAGUUCUUAUAUGUGUUUAAAUACUUGUAUUUUUUCUAUAUGUUCCUCCUAUUUAAAAACCUGCAUUAGUGCUCUUAAACGAGUGUUAUUGUGGGCCGGUACAAUUACUUUGAACAAAUUAGAGUGCUUAAAGCAGGCUUCAAAUGCCUGAAUAUUCUGUGCAUGGGAUAAUGAAAUAAGACCUCUGUUCUGCUUUCAUUGGUUUUCAGAUCAAGAGGUAAUGAUUAAUAGAAGCAGUUUGGGGGCAUUAGUAUUACGACGCGAGAGGUGAAAUUCUUGGACCGUCGUAAGACUAACUUAAGCGAAAGCAUUUGCCAAAGAUGUUUUCAUUAAUCAAGAACGAAAGUUAGAGGUUCGAAGGCGAUCAGAUACCGCCCUAGUUCUAACCAUAAACGAUGCCAGC